CCUACGGGUGGCAGCAGUGGGGGAUAUUGCACAAUGGGCGAGACCCUGAUGCAGCGACGCCGCGUGUGGGAAGACGGUCCUCUGGAUUGUAAACCACUGUCCCCAGGGACGAAGAUGACGGUACCUGGGGAGGAAGCUCCGGCCAACUACGUGCCAGCGGCCGGGGUACUACGUAGGGAGCGCGCGUUGUCCGGAAUUACUGGGUUUAAGGGGAGCGUAGGCGGGACUGCAAGUUGGGGGUAAAAUCUACGGGCUCAACCGGUAGCCGCACUCAAAACUGCAGUUCUUGAGUGAAGUAGAGGCAGGCGGAAUGCGUAGUGUAGCGGUGAAAUGCGUAGAUAUUAGGAGGAACACCAGUGGCGAAGGCGGCCUGCUGGGCUUCUACUGACGCUGAGGCUCGAAAGUGUGGGGAGCAAACAGGAUUAGAUACCCUUGUAGUC
rnacentral:rRNA from 1 species